CUGUAAGAGGUGUGAACAAACAGGAUAUAACAGAUGACAUUAGCCUUCAAACAGCUUUUUGUUAAGUUUUGACCACUUGCUACUGACAUCUAAAAUGACAUGCAUGAUGUACGUGACACAAAUUGGAUUAUUAUUUUGUUUUGUGGUGACUUCAAAAGCACUGGGCAACUGCAAGGGAAAGUGUGAAGAUAUUCAACUAUCCACAAUCAGAACUCCUCUGAAAUCUGAAGUCUUGCUGCCUUGUUACUUUGAAACAAGCAAUAACACCGCUAAUAAAACAAACAAAGCGAGUUGGAGACACUUAUCAUCAAGUCUCCUAGAGAUCACACAAGAUGGGAAUAUCAUCUUUAAUUAUCCUAGAGGAGGACGGGUGACUGUUUUCCCCAUCCUAGCUGCAGUAGGAAACUUCUCCAUAAUUAUUCAUAAUGUACAGGCCUCAGAUUUUGGCUCAUACUGCUGUGAGCUCAACCGGGAAUGCCGGCGACUGAAUAUCACAGAAACAACCCGUCCAGAGAAAAAUAAUGUUUUAAACCCCUGGAUAUACUUUGCGGCUGGAGCUGGAUUAUUUAUUCUGCUUUUUAUUAUAGCCUGCUUGUUUUUAAAAUUCUGUGG